rnacentral:misc_RNA from 1 species
GGAGGGUGGGAGGAUGGGAGUAUCAUCAAUUAUGAGAAUAAAAAAGUUCUCUCUCUCAUUUGACAGCUAUUUUAUGGCUUCACUAGCAGAAUAUGCUGAAAAAAUUGAACAGAUAGACCUAUGUAUUAACAGAAUCAAUAUUCAGGGAUCUUUUAACUUGGUUUCCAAAAUACAGGGACCUAGUCCUUAAAGGAUGAAAUUG